AGAGUGGGAGUCAGCCAGUGAACUUUUUCUGCUAUGGAAGGAGAUCAGGUAUAAAAAGCUGUUGUGCCCUGCCUGGCAUCUCUCUUUAUUCCGACAUAAGCACGACCUGAGGUUUUGAACGCCACGACCAACCGAGACUUCAGUUGCACGAUACAGAUGGCGGAUACUAACAUCACAAUAUCAUCAAGCAAAGGUAAAAUACCUUGAAGUGACGUGGAAGACACUGGAGCGGAAAAAUAUGCUGCAGUUCUGCUGCUUUUAGUGCGAUGUUGGCUUGAAAAGCGCAGAAUCACGCGAGAGGAGCGGCGGGUUUGAAGAGGAUAGCAGCGGCGCGGCGCAUCUUGAAUGAAGAGAAGAAUGUGUGGCCGACCAGUACACCACAAAUAAAAUGUGCAUGCAUUCUCACGAAACUUUGUGGCUAACAUAACAGUUAACAGCACUUAAAUUGCAUGUUUGCAUUUGAAAUAAAACAUGCAUGAACCCUCUCCUCGAAAAUAAGUGCAUCGCCCACGAAUGAAUCCAGAAAACUUUUGACACCUCUACUCUUGUGACGCACUGUCUCUUUCAAAUAUUGCAAUGCGUUUUAACGAGAGAAUGCUGCACCAUUGUUAUCUUUCCGCACGACUCUGCAUGACUUCAUUUUUCUUCCUUCCGCCUGCAUGAAAAUCCGUCACUUUUUUACUUCCAUCAAUCUCUUCCAUAUAUUAUUCCCUUAUUUACUUACAGUAUGUGUUAUAUUUCUAUAUAUUAUGAUAUUGGCAUGAAAAUAUAAGCAUGCAUAAAAGCAUGAAUCUAACCUGCAUGAAGAAUGCUGUUCAUACACGAUCCAAAAUCGAGUCUUAAUUUUAAAAUUCAAGAAUCUAUUUUUAUAUUUAUGAAGAUAAAAUUCAAUGCAUGCAUCCUCUAGCAUGAAGACAAAUGCAUGGAAAGGAAAAGUUCAUUUUCUAAAUCAUUGCAUGGAAAAUCGCAUGUGGCAUGAUGUAUAGAAAUAAUGGUCAAAUAGAGUGUAUAAAACUCUGUUGUUUUUAUAAUGCGCUGAUUUUGCACGAUAAAAGAAUGCGGAAUGAAGCAUGAGUUCAUAUCUAAAUUUUCCCGCAUGCAACUUUUCACUAUAUUAUAUGAACAGUUAAGUGAAGAUAAAAUAAAAUUAUAUUUAGCUUGACUGCACGAUUGUUCCUCCCUUCGCAUGAUCCGUUCUUUUACCUCCUUUUUUGCAUGCUUCCAUGAUACUUUCACUUUCCCUUUUCCCAUAGCAUGCCGUGAUCGUUAUUUUUGUGCUAUGCACUCUCAGCACAGAAACCAUGUUGCAUGCGAGCAUGUUCAUUAACAACGGAAUGAAAGCAGAAAGUAACUCUUCCUCGUGUUCAAUUCUUUUAACACAAAACACAGCAUGGUGCAUGCAUACACACAUUAAUACAAAGAGACUGGUCGAACUAGAUCAACGUGUAUAGCCUUCAAUUUUUGUCAAUUUGUUUUACUGAAUUAAUUUAAUUUCGUCGGAUCCAAAUAAGAGUUUUGAUGAUAAAUUAUCAUUUUUGCGGAUUUAGUAAAAUUCAUUGCUGUUUAAA